CCUACGGGAGGCAGCAGUGAGGAAUAUUGGUCAAUGGUCGGGAGACUGAACUAGCCAAGCCGCGUGAGGGAGGAAGGUACAGAGUAUCGUAAACCUCUUUUGUCAGGGAACAAAGGCGGGGACGUGUCCCCGGAUGAGUGUACCUGAAGAAAAAGCAUCGGCUAACUCCGUGCCAGCAGCCGCGGUAAUACGGAGGAUGCGAGUGUUAUCCGGAUUGAUUGGGUUAAAGGGGUGCGCAGGCGGUCUGUUAAGUCAGCGGGCAAAGCCCGGGGCUCAACCCCGGCCCGCCGUUGAAACUGGCAGUCUCGAGUUGGAGAGAAGUAUGCGGAAUGCGCGGUGUAGCGGUGAAAUGCAUAGAUAUCGCGCAGAACUCCGAUUGCGAAGGCAGCAUGCCGGCUCCACACUGACGCUGAGGCACGAAAGCGUGGGUAUCGAACAGGAUUAGAUACCCUUGUAGUC
rnacentral:rRNA from 1 species